rnacentral:rRNA from 1 species
UUGUGUGUUAGUGGAACGGUCUGGAAAGUCCGACGGUACAGGGUGAUAGUCCCGUACACCAAAAUGCACAGGCUGUGAACUCGAAGAGUAGGGCGGGACACGUGGUAUCCUGUCUGAAUAUGGGGGGACCAUCCUCCAAGGCUAAAUACUCCUGACUGACCGAUAGUAAACCAGUACCGUGAGGGAAAGGCGAAAAGAACCCCGGCGAGGGGAGUGAAAAAGAACCUGAAACCGUGUACGUACAAGCA